GCGAAAACUCCGCAAUGCACGAAAGUGUGACGGGGCUACCCCGAGUGCCAUCCGCUGAGGAUGGCUUUUCUUUGGUAUAACUAGCCAUGGGAAUAAGGAGAGGGCAAGACUGGUGUCAGCCGCCGCGGUAAUACCAGCUCUCCGAGUGGUAGGGAUGAUUAUUGGGCUUAAAGCGUCCGUAGCCGGCUUAGCAAGUUUCCUGUUAAACCCAGCGACUCAAUCGUUGGAUCGCGGGAAAUACUACUAGGCUAGGAGGCGGGAGAGGUCAACGGUACUUCUGGGGUAGGGGUGAAAUCCUAUAAUCCCGGGAGGACCACCAGUGGCGAAGGCUGUUGACUAGAACGCGCUCGACGGUGAGGGACGAAAGCUGGGGGAGCGAACCGGAUUAGAUACCCGGGUAGUCCCAGCUGUAAACUAUGCGAGCUAGGUGUUGAGAUGGCUACGGGCCAUUUCAGUGCCGCAGGGAAGCCAUUAAGCUCGCCGCCUGGGGAGUACGGCCGCAAGGCUGAAACUUAAAGGAAUUGCG
rnacentral:rRNA from 1 species